UACGUAGGGUGCGAGCGUUAAUCGGAAUUACUGGGCGUAAAGCGUGCGCAGGCGGUUCGUUAAGUCAGCUGUGAAAGCCCCGGGCUCAACCUGGGAAUUGCGGUUGAAACUGGCGAACUAGAAUCUGGCAGAGGGGGGUGGAAUUCCACGUGUAGCAGUGAAAUGCGUAGAUAUUCGGAGGAACACCAGUGGCGAAGGCGGCUCACUGGUCCGGUACUGACGCUGAGACGCGAAAGCGUGGGGAGCAAACAGG
rnacentral:rRNA from 1 species